UCGGGAAUUUUGGGCAAUGGGCGAAAGCUUGACCCAGCAACGCCGCGUGAGGGAUGAAGUAUUUCGGUAUGUAAACCUCGAAAGAAUGGGAAGAAUAAAUGACGGUACCAUUUAUAAGCUCCGGCUAACUACGUGCCAGCAGCCGCGGUAAUACGUAGGGAGCAAGCGUUGUUCGGAUUUACUGGGCGUAAAGGGCGCGUAGGCGGCGCGGUAAGUCACUUGUGAAAUCUCUGAGCUUAACUCAGAACGGCCAAGUGAUACUGCUGUGCUAGAGUGCGGAAGAGGCAACCGGAAUUCUUGGUGUAGCGGUGAAAUGCGUAGAUAUCAAGAGGACCACCUGAGGCGAAGGCGGGUUGCUGGGCCGACACUGACGCUGAUGCGCGAAAGCCAGGGGAGCAAACG
rnacentral:rRNA from 1 species